rnacentral:rRNA from 1 species
AUUGAACGCUGGCGGAAUGCUUUACACAUGCAAGUCGAACGGCAGCACGGACUUCGGUCUGGUGGCGAGUGGCGAACGGGUGGGUAAUGUAUCGGAACGUGCCCAGUCGUGGGGGAUAACGUAGUGAGAAUUACGCUAAUACCGCAUACGAUCUAUGGAUGAAAGCUGGGGAUCGCAAGACCUCGCGCGAUUGGAGCGGCCGAUAUCAGGUUAGGUAGUUGGUGGGGUAAAGGCCCACCAAGCCAACCAUCUGUAGCUGGUCUGAGAGGACGACCAGCCACACUGGAACUGAGACACGGUCCAGACUCCUACGGGAGGCAGCAGUGGGGAAUUUUGGACAAUGGGCGAAAGCCUGAUCCAGCCAUUCCGCGUGCAGGAUGAAGGCCCUCGGGUUGUAAACUGCUUUUGUACAGAACGAAAAGGUUUCUACUAAUACUAGGAGCUCAUGACGGUACUGUAAGAAUAAGCACCGGCUAACUACGUGCCAGCCGCCGCCGUAA